rnacentral:rRNA from 1 species
CAGUCGCCGCGGUAAUACGGAGGGAGCUAGCGUUGUUCGGAAUUACUGGGCGUAAAGCGCACGUAGGCGGCUUUGUAAGUUAGAGGUGAAAGCCUGGAGCUCAACUCCAGAAUUGCCUUUAAGACUGCAUCGCUUGAAUCCAGGAGAGGUGAGUGGAAUUCCGAGUGUAGAGGUGAAAUUCGUAGAUAUUCGGAAGAACACCAGUGGCGAAGGCGGCUCACUGGACUGGUAUUGACGCUGAGGUGCGAAAGCGUGGGGAGCAAACAGGAUUAGAUACCCCUGUAGUCCCUGUCUCUUAUAA